rnacentral:lncRNA from 1 species
AAAAAAGUGGUGAUGAGUCACGGACUCCAGAUCAUUUCCUUGAAUCCAGAUGGUACGACUUCACCACACUUGGCAGCUCCGGAUCACUUCCCGUAGAGCUUGUAUUCCUUCCAUGGUCUUGUCCUUCAAAGCCAUGGCGAGAAGAACAGGUUUGUUCCCGGCUUCCUGAGACACGAAUGCCACCAGGUUUUUGGCACAAACGUGGACGAGGGGCUCAUCCUUGCCCAGCAGCACUUUGGUGCUGAGCGAAGGCCUGCCAACGUUGUCCCCUACGGUGUCGGGGUCCACGUAGACGAGCGUGCCCAUCUUGCCGUACUGCGUGACCACCACGAGGACGGCGUUGGAGAACGCGGUGCAAACCACCUCCGUGCGGACCCCGCGCACCGCUUCCUGCCGCCGCUUUGACGUCACCACGGGACUCGCCGCCAUCGCUGCGGAUGAGGAGCGCGCAACGCGGCUACCAAAAGCCUCCAACCUUCCGUUCGUUGGGUUGGCUUUGUCGCCGCGGUCGAUUCCGGAGCGUAAAAGCACCCACGCGUGCGGGCGAGGAGCGGCUGUGCGGGGGAACCAAUGCCCCCACGCGGACACCGCUCCGCGACGGCCGCGGCCCGCGCUCCCCUCCCCGCGCCCCGGGCCGAGCUGAGGCCCCGCGCCGCCACACGGCCCGGCCCGCCCCGGCGGAAGCGGCGCCCGUCCCCUCCUCCCAUCCCACCGUCCUGCGCGGGCAGAUGGCGCGGGGCCGCCAUGAUGGGGCGGAGCCGCCCGCAGCCCCGCUGUGCGUCUGCCCGGUUGGGCCGCGCUGUGCCGCGGGGGGAGCGGCGGCGCAGCCCUGAGGGCCCCUCCGUGCCCUUCGCUCGUGUCCCGAAGCACAGCACGCGUGUUGCGGCCCUCGUGUGCUGCCUCAAAGAGUAAAGCGUAAAGAAGUGCUCGUGCAUCGCGCGGCGUCACGCGGGUGCCGAUUCCUGUUCCACCCGCACGUUGUUUGGGUGCUUCUAACGCCGUUUUAAUGGCUUUCCUCCAAGGCUGAGUUACACACAGCUCCCACAGCUGGCAUUUCUCGGAGCCGUGCAGCUCUGUGCACUCACCCACGUGCUGUGGCCUCUAAAACGCAGCCCUUCCCCUCCGCGCGUUCACUGUUACCGUGCUUUACAAAACGUGCCAGGAAAAGCACUGAACUCCGCGUUACCUCUGCAGGCAAUCCCUCCUUUUUGGUUCACUUUACCACCUGUAGCUUCCCGGCAGAGCACGUCGGCUCUGUGCUGAGAGUGCUCGGAGGCACCAUCAGAGAGCAGCAGAGCUCCACACAAAGCCCUUCCCCUGCCCAGGCGGUGCUCCGUGCAGCCGGAGAGGCGUCGUUCCUUUGGGCGCUCUGGCCAUACACAGCCUGUUUUCCAGCCCUGCCAACAACCAGCGCCGCUCUGUUGCUUACCAGCAUCGCUCGAGGCUGUUUGACAGAGAUAAUAGCAGCUCCUGUCGGCAAAGCCUCCUGUCUCAUGGAGGGGUUUACCUCAGGGAACAGAAAGGACCGGAUUCUUCCUGCCUGCCGUCCUCGCCAGCCUCUGUUUUAUUCUUUAUAGAGGACAAACGGAGUCCAAUCCUGUUCAGAUUUCCGUGGAAACAGCUCUGUCCCCUCAGUACACUUCACUGAUUUCCAUUAGUUUGGGAGCAAGGAGUUGUUGCAGUUGAUUGGAAACCAUUUUGGCAUGGAUCGGAGGUGGGGUACAUAGCGAACACGUGAAGCUGACAGCAAGAGGCAGCCGAGCCCUGGAUUUUCAUCACCAAAAAUAAACACACUCAAAAAAACAGGGCUAGCUGUGAAGGAAAAGGCUCAGAUUGCUCACCUGACCCGGGCAGGGUGUGGGGCUUUGAGUGGGCAGGGUGUGGGACCUGCCCAUGGGACUGCCUGCUGCUCCCCACCCUGCUCUGCCUCAGAAGGACGUGUGUCUGUGCUUGCACUCUGCUUAUCUAUUGAGCUUUUCAUCCAGUGAUCCCUAAUCACGUAGCAGACAUUAUUACAUUUAGCUUCAUAAACUCUCUUUGGACAUAAGAGGUUAUUAAUACACCCCAUUUUACGGUCCGAGGGAAAUAAAGAAUGAAGGCGGUUCAGAAGCCAUCACAUCCUUGGCUGCCAGGCACCAGGUCUCUUCUUCCAUUCCCAUGCACUUACAGCUGAGGAAACAUAAGUCGUGCGUGUCACUACCUCAAUUACUAGCAAAAAUCAAUGACUAUGCAGCCCAAUACUUUGACAAGAAAAACUACCCAUAAUAUUGCCGUUUUAAACCUUUAUUAUUAUUUAUUCGAGCAGUUUCUUACCACUCUUGCUUUUCUAAAUGCUUAAGUGCCUCUGUGUAGUCUGCUUUUUUAUAAUAAUCUCUGCAUUUAUCUGAAGUGAUUUUAUAGAGCUAAUGCAUGGGAUCUGCAGAGCAUUAGAAAUGUUUCCCACUUCCCUUG